AAAAAAAAAAGGCACCAACCACACGCACGCACCCUGCUACAGUCCCGCGGUUUCAAAGUGCAAGAUUUAAAAAAAAAAAAAAAAAAAAAAAAAAAAGGCCGUUUCCAAAUUGUAGCGCCCCCCCCACCCCUUCUCCAGGAAAAAAAAAAAAAAAAAAGUGGUGGGGGGGGAGUGCUUGCAGCUCCCAAUUUCAGCCCGCGAAAGUCUCCCGACUCAUUGCUAUUCUUGGGCUCAGGAAAUUGCUUAAACGCGAUCUGAUUGCCAGCAACGUGCAGGAGAAGUGGGGGGUCCCGGUGUCAGUUUCUUUACGUGCAUGGCUCGCCCUGGCGCGCGCUCGCUCUCUCCGGCUCUCUCCCUCCCUCUCCCAGCAGAGGCCGGGAGUUGCCGCUCGAUCCGGCUCCCUUUCUCUCCCCUGUUAGCAUUUAUUGCCUUCUUUUUGUCCUUUCCAACUUGGAGAGGGCCCGGGUGCGGAGCGCGUGUGGAUCGGACGCCCUCGUCAGCGCCGCCUUAUUCAUUCGCUCCCGGGGCAGCAGCGGCGCGGAGCGAGAGGGCUGCCCUUUUUUCCCCCCCAUUUUUUAAUACCCCAUUAAGUCUGAUUGACAGUUAAAGUUGCGCGGAGGCUCCACUACCGUUCCUCUGAGUGGCUGCCGCGGGCUCCCCUCCCCCCGCGCAGUGCGGGGCGCGCGCGCGGGCGCGCACCCGGGCUCGCUCCGACCCGCGCUCUCCCGGGCAGGCUUCCCUCUCUGCAAGCCGGGACUUGCCGGCGGUGUCCCUGAGGGCUCGCGGCAGUAACUCGAACACGCUGGAACCGACUCCUGCGAACCGGCUCCCUCCUCGAGACAUUCCUCCCGGUCGGGGACGCGGGCUCCCCGAGCUGGGGCGCCCGCGGGCCAGGUGCCGGGUCCUGCGCGCGGGGCAGGCCCGGGGGAGCUCGCGCACGCUUUGAUCCAACCAGGUCGACCAGGGGUUAUUUCGGGCUCUUUGGUCACCCCCUGCCUCCAGGUAGGACCAGGAAACCACUCCCGCCCUUUGCCCAGACGCCUUCUGUCUUCACUUAGCGUACACUUUCUUAGUCGGCCCGAGUCCUUCUUGUUGCUGGGGGGAAACAGCUGGGGAGCAGGGUUUUGUUUUGAGAGGCGUAGGGAGGGGGGUGGUGGGGGGGGGAGGUGAGCAGGGUAAAGGAACCUCUGCCCCCAAGGUGCCAAUAAAAUCCCCGUAAGAUUAGCUGGGAGCAUAUUUAUUGCUCAUCUGGGGUAGAAUUACCUUGAGUGACAGCAAUUUCUUUAAUAACAAAAGCCUGCAAACAAGACGUCCUACACCGGUGCCCCCUGCGCUGUGCAGGCAGCGUCUUCUGUCUAUGGGUCUCCUUGGGCCGCCCUAGCCUGGCACCCACCUUGUCACCUCCUGCCCUUCCCCCCCCCGCAGGGAGAAUACCUCCUCUGCCGGAGGGUGGGAGCCUGCUAUUUAGAGAUGUCUGCUGCGGGAAGUCUGGGAGAGUGGUCCCCAGGUGCUUUUUGUGAACAUUGAAGUUUGAGAAGUGCAAGGUGGUGUCCCUCAAGCCGGUGUGACAGGAGCAGAGGGGAGAAGCCCCGGCUUCUGGGUCCAGAACAGCCCACAGGAACCAGGAGCAGGUGCGGAGACAGCAGGGGGGAGGCCGUGUGGGAUGGGCAGGGGAGAGACGGGCAAGUAGUGACACCAGCAAGCUCUCUCCUGGGAACGCCCAGCUCGGGGGCCUCCCGGGAGGUCCCUUCCUCCUCCAAGGGACACUCCUUUUGAGUGGGAUUUUAACAGCGAUAACUCGACACACACACACACACACACACACACACACACACACACACACACACACAGCUUUAUCUGACCAUUGGCGACUUUGCCCUGAGCAGAACAAGCUGGCAGUGUUGAAUGAGGGGGUGGGAUUUGGAGAACCUUGUGGUCUAGUGGAAACCAGUGUCCCAAGCAGUAUAAGAGGGGCUAAAUUGUGGGGGGGGGGGCAUCUUGGUGGAGACGGCCACGUGGGAGGACGUGAGCCGUGUGAGGGGGUGCGGACCAGGGGUACUUGUCCAGCCAAAGGAAACAGGAGAAAACAGCUUUCAGUAAACUCCCUGUGGGGAGGGGGACACUUGGUCUGCAAAGGCUGGAGACGUUAAAAAACUAAUACCCACCCCCCCGCCAACCCCCGCCCACUUCUAACACUGAACAUUUGCCAGGAGGGCCCAUUUUCUCCCUGGUGAGGCCUAGCCAAUGGGACUGGGUACAUAUAUAUAAAAAAAUCAAAACCAAAAACCCAAAACGGAUAGAAUGGUUUCUUUCAUCCGUGAAAACCCGUCCCCCACAGGUGAGUAUUUUCCAUGGAACUCCUCCUUCCCAGGGCCGGGAUCUGCUCGCCCAGGCAGGCUUUCCUGGUGGGUUCUGUGGGCUCCAUGCGAGUGGACGCUGGGGCAGGCCGUGUUUAUUCUGGCUGCUGGGACUGGGUGGAGACCCAGGCCGCAGCCAAGGCCGGGAACGUGGCAGGAACACAGACGGGGUGGGGUGGGGUGGGGGUGAAACCUGAGAAAUCUUGGGCCGAAGCCAGGAGGGCACCCAGUGGUUGUCACCUGCCUCCAGGCCAGUCACACAAUCCUAACUCAGGGCGUGGAGUGUAAGGUGUGAGGAUGGCUGGACCCAAGCUCUGCCACUUCGUAGCUGUGUGAGUUUGGGCAAGCGAUUUGCCUUUCUGAGCCUUUGUGUUCUCAUCCCUAAAGUGGAAAUUCUACCACCUACAGAGAUGAUGUCUUUGAAGGGCUUGGCAUCUGACGGGAAAAGAUGCUCGCACUUACCAGACCCCAGGUCCCCAUGCUUCAUGUGGAUUACCUCACUUCGCCAUCACAAGCCACCAGCUGAUGGGGUACGGUCAUCAUCCCCAUUUAACAGAUGAGGAAACUGAGGCCCACGUAAGAGGAGCAGCUGGUCCAGACUGUGCGGUUUUGAGUGGUGUUGCUGAAACACAGACGGGAUAAUCAGAUCUUCUGGGCUUCGGCGAAUCUGUAGCCCAGUCAGGCGCUUGUUGAAGCGUUCGUAGUUACGUGGAACGGUUGCGUGGGCAAUUACGAAGGAAAACAGCAACCAUCCGCCCACUCCCCAGUCAGAUGUACAAUAUUGGCAAUAUACUCCCUCGUUUAAAAUUUAGUCUAGGGGCGCCUGGGUGGCUCAGUCGGUUAAGCGUCCGACUUCAGCACAGGCCAUGAUCUCACGGUCCGUGAGUUCGAGCCCCGCAUCGGGCUCUGUGCUGACAGCUUGGAGC